GCCUCUGUGGCUCAGUUGGUUAUAGAGCGCCGCACCGGAAUCGCAGGGCCGUAGGUUCGAUUCCUACCAGAGGAC